GCAGUGGUGGUUCAAUGGUAGAAUUCUCCCUUCCAUGCAGGAGACCUGGGUCUGAUUCCUGGCUAAUGCU
rfam:Loxodonta africana unplaced genomic scaffold scaffold_26, whole genome shotgun sequence.